rnacentral:rRNA from 1 species
UACGGAGGGGGCUAGCGUUGCUCGGAAUCACUGGGCGUAAAGCGCACGUAGGCGGGUUGUUAAGUCGGGGGUGAAAUCCUGGAGCUCAACUCCAGAACUGCCUUCGAUACUGGCGACCUUGAGUCCGGGAGAGGUGAGUGGAACUCCGAGUGUAGAGGUGAAAUUCGUAGAUAUUCGCAAGAACACCAGUGGCGAAGGCGGCUCACUGGCCCGGUACUGACGCUGAGGUGCGAAAGCGUGGGGAGCAAACAGG